rnacentral:rRNA from 1 species
UUCUUUCUAGGAACACUUUCCAGUACACCUACUUUGUUACGACUUAUUUCAUUUUAAAAUGAAAGCGACGGGCGAUAUGUACAUAUUUUAGAGCUAUAAUCAUUUUAAAUAAAUUUAAAAAAUUACUUUCAAAUCCAAAUUCAAAUUUUUGUAAUAAAAAUUAUCCUUAAAUAAAUUUAUUGUAAUCCACCUCUUUUUUAUUAUAAACUACACCUUGAUCUGAUUUAUUUUCUAAUUAAAAAUUCUGAAUAUUUAUAUUCUAUUAAAAUAUUCAAACUACGACGAUAUGUAAGCUAAAAAAUAAAAUUUUUAUUAUCGUGGACUAUCAAUUACAGGGCAGAUUCCUCUGAAAAGACUAAAAUACCGCCAAAUUUU